rnacentral:lncRNA from 1 species
AAAUAGAUUGUGUCCAUAAAAAUGAUCACGCGACCAAUAACGAAGAAAAAUGUGAUCUUUCAUUGUGGGCUCUGUAAUUAUUUUACCCAGCUUCCAGCCACACAUAUCAAUCUUUGGAGGAUUUCUGACAAAUGCUCCACACAUGAUUCUAUCAUCAUCCCAUGAAGCAUCAUUAUUGACAAAAAUGCAACAACAAACAACUCCAAUCCAUUGAUUAUCUUUCCGAAGGUUGAUAGUGUUGUUCCAAUAGGGUCAGAAGCGUGUAAAUUAUUGUACUAAAAAAUCACACAAAGUUCAAUUCCCAGGGAAGAGAGGUGGAUCACAUGGAUCUCUUAAAUACCAAGUCUUUCCUUAGACAGAAUAUCCCUUCUAACGUAAUUUAAUAGCACAAUUAAAUACUACUAUUAUACCCUCAAAUAUUGAAAGAAAAAUAGGACAAGAAAGAACACAAGAGUUUUAACAAGGUUCGGUAAAUUAUACCUACGUCCUCGGGCACUAACACCAGAUGAUAACUUUACUAUCUCCAAAAUAUUACAAACAAAUAGAAUUCCUUAAGAAUUCUCAAAUGGGAGAAGAGAGAAAACUAAGAUAGAAAGAUUGGUUGGGAUGAAUUGAAAUGAGAAAUGAGAAGGCCUAUUUAUAGUUGAGGUUCAAGGACCAAACAAUAAAUAGCCCAUUAUCUCAAGGACCAAAAAAAAAUUAUCCCUUGCCACUUUUCCAAAGUUGGUGGUUGUCAUUAUUGAUUGUCUCCCAUUAAUGUUAAUGGCAACCAUUAUUAAUUGUCUUCCAUUAAUGUUAACAAUCUCCACCUUGAAGAUUUGAUUAGGAUAAUCACAUCUUCACACACUUCCUUCAACUCCCCAAAUUCGAUAAAGCUAUCUUUUGUAGUGCCUACAAAUGCGCUCUCGAGCGCCAUACACUUGAAGGUGCUCAAAUUCUCAGGAUGUUAAUCAAGUUCAAACAAUGAUUAAACUUGAUUGUUGUUACCACCUUGGUCAUCAUAUCUGCGGGAUUAUCUGCUGUCGGAAUCUUCUGAAGUAGAAUUUUUCCUUUUUCAAAAACUUCCCGCACAAAGUGAUAUCUUACGUCGAUAUGCUUGGUUCUUGAAUGAUAGACUUGAUUUUUCGCUAAAUGAAUAGCGCUCUGACUGUCACAAUAUAAACUUAUGUGACUUUGAACAACUCCUAAGUCUUUCAACAAUCCAUUAAGCCAAAUAGCCUCCUUAACAGCUUCUGUAACUGCCAUAUAUUCUGCCUCUGUAGUAGACACAGCUACUGUAGACUGUAAGGUAGACUUCCAACUCACUGAGGCUUUCGCAAGAGUAAACAGAUACCCCGUAGUUGAACGACGUUUAUCUAAAUCACCAGCAAAGUCGGAAUCAACAUAUCCAACUACAAACUGACCAAGUGCUUCAUCCUGUUCAAAAAUUAAACCAACAUCUACGGUUUUUCGAAGAUACCGUAGAAUCCAUUUCACAGCUUGCCAAUGUCCUUUUCCAGGAUCAUGCAUAUACCUGCUCACAACUCCAACAGCUUGUGAAAUGUCAGGCCUCGUACACAGCAUCGCAUACAUCAAACUCCCAACUGCAUUAGCAUAUGGGACUUUCGCCAUAUAUUCUCUUUCAUCUUCAGUCUUCGGAGAUAAUUGAGCACUAAGUUUCAAAUGAGAAGCAAGUGGGGUACUUACAUGUUUUGUGUUUUCAUUUACACCAAAACAUUGUAAUACCUUUUUCAGAGAUUGCUUCUGAUUUAAAUAGAGCUUGCCUCUCGGUCUAUCUCUACUUAUCUCCAUGCCGAGAAUCUUCUUGGCCUCACCUAGAUCUUUCAUCUCGAACUCUUGAUUCAACUGAGCCUUCAGCUUAUCUAUCUCAUUUUGGCUCUUCGAAGCUAUUAACAUAUCAUCAACAUACAAGAGUAGAUAAAUGAAAGAUCCGUCAUGCAGCUUCUGCAAAUAUACACAAUUGUCAUAUUUGCUUCUUGUGUACUUCUGCCUUCUCAUAAAGCUAUCAAAUCGCUUGUACCACUGCCUCGGGGAUUGCUUCAAUCCAUAUAGCGAUUUGUUCAGCUUACAAACCCAAUUUCUACCACCAGCAUCUGUGUAUCCUUCGGGCUGAGUCAUAUAGAUCUCCUCUUCUAACUCACCAUGCAAGAAAGCCGUCUUAACAUCAAGUUGAGCUAGCUCCAAAUUCAACUGUGCUACCAAGGCCAACAAAAUUCUAAUGGAGGAAUGCUUCACAACAGGGGAAAAUACAUCAUUGUAGUCAAUUCCCUCCUUCUGAGCGUAGCCUUUAGCUACCAAUCUUGCCUUGUAGCGAAUAUCCUUCUUGCUAGGAGAUCCAUCUUUCUUUGCGAAUACCCACUUGCAUCCGAUUUCCCUUUUACCUUUCGGUAAUUGCGCCAACUCCCAAGUAUUGUUCUUCCGGAGAGACUGCAUUUCUUCAUCCAUGGCGCUUUUCCAUUUAUCACUUUCUAAGCUUUGCAUUGCUUCUUGAUAAGUGAUAGGAAUAUCAUCAACAACGGGAAGGGCGUAGGCCACCAUAUCAGUAAAUCGAGCAGGUUUACGAAUUUCUCUCUGUGGCCUUGCAACUGCAACUGGUUCUGGUGUACUUAGUGGUUCUUGGGUCAGAACCUCUUCAACCUCUAAUUCUUCCAUUGUGGCUGGAGAAUUAGACUUAUUAACUGGGCAAAUCCCCAUCUGCUCAAACUCCACCUGUUUUGGAGUACACUCCACCUGCUGUGGAGUAUUGCUCGUCUGAAUAUCUUUAUCUGCUACCUUUUUCAAUGUCGCAGAUUCAUCAAAGGUAACAUCUCUGCUACAGAUCAUUUUCUUUGUGCUUAAGCACCAAAGACGAAAUCCCUUCACUCCAGAAGUGAUUCCCAUAAAGAGAGCUUUCUUUGCCCUCGGAUCUAACUUUGACUCAUUCACAUGGUAAUAUGCAGUGGUUCCAAACAUAUGUAAGGAAUCAUAAUCUGUCGCCGGUUUUCCAGACCAUACCUCCAUAGGAGUUUUUCUUUCUAAUGCAGAUGAUGGCAAACGAUUAACAAGAUGGCCAGCGUAUGUCACAGCCUCAGCCCAAAAUUGCUUGCCCAACCCAGCAUUGGACAACAUACAUCGAACUUUCUCCAGCAAUGUUUGAUUCAUACGCUCUGCCAAUCCAUUCUGCUGUGGUGUAUCCCUAACUGUGAAGUGUCGAACAAUACCAUACUCUUGGCACACAUCGAAGAACGGAUCACUUUUAUAUUCCCCUCCAUUGUCCGUCCUAAGCCGCUUGAUUUUCUUGCCAGUCUGGUUUUCGAUCAUAGUUUUCCAUUUAAGAAAAACUCUAAGCACUUCAUCCUUAGUUCUCAUGGUAUACACCCAAACUCUUCUGGAAAAGUCAUCAACAAAAGUAACAAAGUAGUGUUUUCCUCCCAAUGAAGGUGUCUUGGAAGGCCCCCACACAUCUGAGUGAACAUAUUCUAAAAUACCUUUUGUAUUAUAGAUAGCAGUACCGAAUUUCACUCUCUUUUGCUUUCCCAGAACACAAUGCUCGCAAAAUUUUAAUUUGCAAGCCUUUGCACCUUUCAACAAUCCUUGCUUUGCCAGAAUUUGCAAGGAUUUUUCGCUGGCAUGUCCCAACUUCAUAUGCCACAACUGCAUUGAGUCCAAGUCUUUGUUACUGGAAGCUGCAGCGACUGCUCCAAUAACUGUACUACCUUGGUAGUAAUACAAGUUAUUUUUCCUGAUGCCCUUCAAUAUCACAAGUGCGCCAGAUGUCACUUUCAAAACCCCAUCUCUCAUAGUAACAACUGAACCAUUGGAUUCCAAGGCUCCUAAUGAGAUGAGAUUUUUCUUCAAACUGGGCACGUACCGAACAUCAGUCAGAACUCUGGUUGAUCCAUCUUGAUUCUUUAAUUGGAUUGAACCUAUCCCAACAGUUUUACAGGCAUUGUCAUUGCCCAUAUAAACAACUCCUCCAUUUAGUUCUACUAAAUCAGAGAACCACUCCCGGUUAGGGGACAUAUGAUAGGUGCAACCCGAAUCCAAUAUCCACUCAUCUGAAUGGAACGACGAUGAUGAUGCAACCAGUGAUAGUUCAGAGUCACUAGUAUCAUGCUUUGCAACACAAGCAUCUACAGCAGCUUUUCCCUUAUUCUUCAGCUUUGGACAAUUUUUCUUCCAGUGGCCUUUCUCAUGACAAAAGGCACAUUCAUCUUUCCCGAGUCUGGACUUUGACUUUGAUCUCCCCUUUUGAGUUUUCUUCCGAGGGUAUGAACGACCUCGGACUACUAAAGCUUCUGUAUCUCUGAUUGAGUUUUUCUGUUUGUCCUUCUUUCUCUGUUCAUAACUGUAUAAGGCCGCACAGACUUCGCUCAGAGAUAUAUCACUCCUGCCAUGAAGUAGAGUAGUUUCUAGGAACUCAAACUCCUCAGGAAGUGACCCCAACAGCAUCAAAGCCAAAUCUUCAUCUUUGAAUGUCUCAUCCAUAUUCAGCAAAUCAGUGACUAACUGAUUAAAUUUGGUGAUGUGAUUAUUCAUUGUGGUACUUGGGACAUAUGUGAAGUGAAACAGUCUUUUCUUCAAGUGGAGCUUAUUUUGACUGUUUUUCUUCAAAAAUUUUUCUUCAAGUGCCACCCACAACUUAUUUGCAGAAGUCUCAUUUGAAAAAGCAUACCUCUGCUCUCGAGAAAGGCAUGAUCGAAUUGUGCCACAUGCCAACCGAUUGAUCGCCUUCCAAUCUUUCUCCUGUACAUCAUCUGGUUUCUCUUCAUCAAUGGCAAUGUCUAGACCCUACUGAAAAAGGGCAUCUAGAACCUCACUUUGCCACAUACCAAAAUGGCCCGUGCCAUCAAAGAUCUCCACGGCCAAUCUUGCAUUUGCAAUUGUCGGUCUUGUCCACAUGGACGAUGUUGAAGCUCCUACACCGAUCGUUUUCUCCAUAAUCUUUCAAUAUACCUAAGGAAAUCUUUUCUGAUGUGGAAGAUCAGUUCAAACUGCAACCACAGAGCAUACUACGAUUAACCUUCGGCUCUGAUACCACUUGUUAUUCCAAUAGGGUCGGAAGCGUGUAAAUUAUUGUACUAAAAAAUCACACAAAGUUCAAUUCCCAGGGAAGAGAGGUGGAUCACAUGGAUCUCUUAAAUACCAAGUCUUUCCUUAGACAGAAUAUCCCUUCUAACGUAAUUUAAUAGCACAAUUAAAUACUACUAUUAUACCCUCAAAUAUUGAAAGAAAAAUAGGACAAGAAAGAACACAAGAGUUUUAACGAGGUUCGGUAAAUUAUACCUACGUCCUCG